UGGUCCUCCCAGGUCGUCGUCCCCUGGUCAGGUGCUACUUCCCAUUGCAAACUGGAAACCUAAGGACCCUCCUGUGCUUGAAGACGACAUUGGACCACAGAUAUUACACGUCUAUGAGCUCUUGAACAGUGGACCCAGCACCAUCAGUAAAGCGGGUCUGGAGGUCCAGUGGCCGUACCACUUCAGGAACGGCUCUCUGCUCUACAUCACAUCAUACAAGACGGACGGACCCAUCAACUGCACCACCGACAUACAGAUCAACCCGCUCAACGUGUCGAACCCGUUGACCUCACAGAAGAACACCAGCGGGAUCCCGCCCAGAGAGAGAGAGACAGAGGGACGAAACAGAAACCAUGUUCGUAAGAGAGACGUGGAGUCAAGAGACUCACAGAACGACCUGCAGACACUGGUACGCACACA